CUUCUUUCCGUUAUCAUAUAAAUAUCUAUUGACCUCUGUGUUAGUUCACUUAACGUUUGUUUGGAAGGAAAACUACAAUUAGCCUUUCUCACGAUGACGAAUAUCCGCCAUUUUUGGGUGGCAUGUAAUUCUCGUUAACCAGUGCAGACAAUUAAAACAAUGUGAAAAGCAAUUUUUCAAAAUCAACUAACCAUUUACAAAGCAAAUUUACCAUC